AAUAUUGCACAAUGGGUGCAAGCCUGAUGCAGCAACGCCGCAUGCGCGACGAAGGCCUUCGGGUCGUAAAGCGCUUUUCGGGGAGAUGAGUACGGACAAUAUCCCCGGAAGAAGGAUCGGCUAACUACGUGCAAGCAGCCGCGGUAAAACGUAGGAUCCGAGCGUUAUCCGAAUUCACUGGGCGUAAAGCGCAUGCGGGCGGCCGCACAAGUUGGAUGUGAAAUCUCCCGGCUCAACUGGGAGGGGACGUUCAAAACUGUGCGGCUCGAGGGCGGUAGAGGAAGGUAGAAUUCACGGUGUAGUGGUGAAAUGCGUAGAUAUCGGGAGGAAUACCCGUGGCGAAGGCGACCUUCUGGACCGUUUCUGACGCUCAGAUGCGAAAGCUAGGGGAGCGAACAGG
rnacentral:rRNA from 1 species